rnacentral:rRNA from 1 species
AUUGAACGCUGGCGGCAGGCCUAACACAUGCAAGUCGAACGGUAACAGGAAGAAGCUUGCUUCUUUGCUGACGAGUGGCGGACGGGUGAGUAAUGUCUGGGAAACUGCCUGAUGGAGGGGGAUAACUACUGGAAACGGUAGCUAAUACCGCAUAACGUCGCAAGACCAAAGAGGGGGACCUUCGGGCCUCUUGCCAUCGGAUGUGCCCAGAUGGGAUUAGCUUGUUGGUGGGGUAACGGCUCACCAAGGCGACGAUCCCUAGCUGGUCUGAGAGGAUGACCAGCCACACUGGCACUGAGACACGGUCCAGACUCCUACGGGAGGCAGCAGUGGGGAAUAUUGCACAAUGGGCGCAAGCCUGAUGCAGCCAUGCCGCGUGUAUGAAGAAGGCCUUCGGGUUGUAAAGUACUUUCAGCGGGGAGGAAGGGAGUAAAGUUAAUACCUUUGCUCAUUGACGUUACCCGCAGAAGAAGCACCGGCUAACUCCGUG